GAGUAUUUAGCUCAAUUGGCAAGUGAGCAGUAUCCACCUCGGUAUGUAUACGAGCACACGGGAGUAUUGUGAGAGUGAGGACUUUGCUCUCCCAAGUUAUAUCGAUCGACGUGGCUAUUCCUUACCUGAUGUGGCCCACAUCAAAAACCCUUUCUGCCAGCUGGAAUCCUGGAAAGAGAAGGAGAAUGAACACCUGGAGCAGUCUAUCAAUUGAUGGAAAGGUUAAUCGUAUCACAUUAAGUUCAACAAGGGCUUUGCUGAAAUGAACAGGAGCACAAAUGAGUGAUAGUUGUGGGUGCUGCCAUGUUUUUCAUGGGCCUCAAUGCUCUCAUUCUGAUCUGGGAAAAGCAUUAUGUGCAUGGCCCCAUUCCUCAUAGAUCUGAAGAGC